CGACGUGGAUAACCUGCCUCACACAGGGGAUAACAGUUGGAAACGACUGCUAAUACCGCAUAAGCGCACAGCACCGCAUGGUGCAGUGUGAAAAACUCCGGUGGUGUGAGAUGGAUCCGCGUCUGAUUAGCUGGUUGGCGGGGUAACGGCCCACCAAGGCGACGAUCAGUAGCCGGCCUGAGAGGGCGACCGGCCACAUUGGGACUGAGACACGGCCCAG
rnacentral:rRNA from 1 species